rnacentral:rRNA from 1 species
GUCGAGAAUCUUCCGCAAUGGGCGCAAGCCUGACGGAGCGACGCCGCGUGGACGAUGAAGGCCUUCGGGUUGUAAAGUCCUGUCACCUGGUAAGAAACGCAUAGCGCUAACACCGACUGUGCUUGACGUUACCGGGAGAGGAAGCCACGGCUAACUCUGUGCCAGCAGCCGCGGUAAGACAGAGGUGGCAAGCGUUGUUCGGAAUCACUGGGCUUAAAGGGCACGUAGGCGGCCCGGCAAGUCGGAUGUGAAAUCCCCUGGCUCAACCAGGGAACUGCAUCCGAAACUACCGGGCUUGAGCGCAGGAGGGGAGAGCGGAACUCCUAGUGGAGCGGUGAAAUGCGUAGAUAUUAGGAGGAACGCCGGUGGCGAAAGCGGCUCUCUGGUCUGCAGCUGACGCUGAGGUGCGAAAGCUAGGGGAGCAAACAGGAUUAGAAACCCUAGUAGUCC